CUGCUAAACCACACCCCAUGCAAACAUCAUAAUAAACGUACAUUAAAAACCUUAGUUUUUGGGGCAGCCAGUAUACGGAUCCGCGGAAUAGGUGAGUGGCCACAUUUCAGGGCGAUUUUUGUGCAGUAAACAUCUAGAAUCUGUGCCAAAGCGAACGGCCGGUAUAACGAGGUGGCCGUACUUCAGAGAGCCAGAAUAGCAAGAGUCUACUGUAAAUACACAUUAUCCUUGCCAGAACAGAUUGCAAAGGGUCUAUUAUUCUGCUGAUUUGGCUCAUUCGUAAAAGUUUUUCACCUGUGUUUGUGUAGACUGCUACAGCUGCUGGAUCAAUCAAGUGCAAGUAUACAUCAUGUGCAAGUAAGGGCUUCAGUUCUAGUCAUAUUUACUUGGAUUAAUGCAGGGAUUUGCUUCGUUCUCGAGUUAUGCCUAUAGUUUUCAAUUUGCUUACUUCGAAUGCCAUUGCAGCCUUUUCAGAAGAGUGCGUAGCAAAACUUGUCCAUGGAAUGUUGUUACUCUGUUAGCUUUGCACUAGAACGCUAGCUAUAUUGGUAGCUGCAAGAGUGAGAAGGGAGCUGCAAGGCUCUGCUACACUGAUGCUAGUCUCACAGAUCAGCCCCUCCUCCUAAGAAGAGGUCCUUCAGGUCCGGCUGAUCUAUGAGAUUCAUGGUCAGACCUUCAACCACGAAAAUCACGAAUAUUUUGCCCCACCGUCGAAAAUUACCCUCUGGAAAUGGACCUACCUAAUUCGAACUAUCCCGAAUAUCGCUGAUCUACUGCAACCUCUUGAGGAUGCGAUAAGGCACAAAUUCAUACCAUCCUUGACAGGUCAGAGUGCACUAAAUUGCGAAACCAGAGAAUUGAUGGCACUACCAAUACGACAUGGAGGCCUUGGAAUCAUCAACCCCACUAGAAAUAACUCCUAUCACCACAAGCCGUCACAAAGCAUCACAGCUCCUCUCGUCUCUCUAAUCCUGGUCCAAUCUCACACAUACCAUCAGGAGGCCAAAGCAGAACAACUCAUUGCCUAGCCUCGAUCCCAGGCCGAGUUUUCGCUUUUAUAACGGUUAGGCAAACAACUGGGCCUGGUACUAGUUGUCUGCGCAUGCGUCAGUCGUUUGUCAGAUUCUGACGAAUGGAUAUUCUCGUUCACUUUCGUGACAUUUAUAUUCGUGUACUAUCGUGUACUAGAAGUCAGUUCCCGUUUUAUCAUUAUUGGAAUCGAUUGGAAUGGCUCUUAGCUGAAGCUUCUCUCUUCUCUGAAGCUUAUUCUGAAGACUGAACAACAAGGGAAGAGGUAUAAAGCUUUGUCAAGCUUGUUAAGGUCAGAUAUUUUUGUGUGGGCCCUAUGGCCGGCUAUGCUAUCAAGUCUUGUUCAUGUUUGGCAAGAAUGUAGGUAGACUAUAGUUUCAUCAUUAAUAUGGUGGAUCAAGUGAAGAGUGUGAGCUAGAGAACUUGGUGCUGCCAUCAUCAGCUCGUCGACAAUGACACUAUAACCGAGAAAUUUAAUAUGUAUAGAUCUACACGUAUUUAAAAUGUCUACUUUUCUGUACAGGAGCAAUGGCUAAUAUCCAGCUAUCCCAACAGUGCUCCUCUUGGCUAUACUAACAGACGAGACUGGACAGUUUGAGACACAGGACUGGAGUAUGACCUGCUCAUUCGAGCGUUGCUGGGUAGCUCAGAGACAUCAAGAGAAUCUACGUUUUCUCAAGCAAUGAGUUACGAGUUGGGGCCUAAAAUCAGAGAAGUCCAGCAGCCUGCUAAAUCUUUUUGAAACGUAAUUUGAAGGCAUUCAAUCAUCCUGAAGUUGCCCUGGGUCACUGUAAUUGUGCUGCAGCACAACUGGCAACUCCCCAGGCCUUUGUGAAGCAGCUCCCUAUGUGCAUCUUUUGUGUACUCACUCUGUGCAUUUUCUGUGUACAAAUUUCGAUUAUUGAUUUAUUAAA